rnacentral:ncRNA from 1 species
CAGUAUCGCAAGGCACUGUUGAACAUACAGAAGUCAGCAGAGGUCAUAGUAGCAGGGAUGUGAAGGG